rnacentral:rRNA from 1 species
GACGAACGCUGGCGGCGUGCUUAACACAUGCAAGUCGAACGGAAAGGGCCCUUUGGGUGCAUCUGUCUGGCUUAGGGGCGAGUAACACGUGAAUGAGCUGCCAACGUCUUCGUGAUAACUUGAGAAAACUGGGGCAAAUCCCGGAAUACCACCUAUGCUCCAUUGUGGGGGUUGGAAAGCGUCGGCGGGUUUGGUUGGCCUCUCGGCUUACCAGCUAGUUGGUGGGGUAGUGGCUUACCAAGGCUUGGAGGGGUAGGCGGCCUGAGGGGGCGGACGGCCACAUUGGGACUGAGGUACGGACCAGACGCCUACGGGAGGCAGCAGUCGAGAGUAUUGCACAACGGGGCGGAGCCUGAGGCAACGACGCCCCGGGCGGGAUGACGGCCUUCUGGUUGUGAACCGCUUUCAGCAGAGGCGAAGCUUGUAGUGACGGUACCUGCAGAGGAAGCACCGGCUAACUACGUG